AUUUUCAAACUUUGAGCUCACGGAGACCAUUGAUCCUAACUGCUGCUGCCUGUGGGAAUCCAGUGGGAUUCUUUGCUUGACAGGCGAACAGCACAAACCAAGUGACACAUGCAUUAACAUCGGUGAAUUACCCCUAAGCUGUCUUCCUGCCGGUGUUGUCUCCAGUUGUGUCCUGUGUCGCUGAACAUCAACAGGUAAGCCG